rnacentral:rRNA from 1 species
AUUGAACGCUGGCGGCAGGCCUAACACAUGCAAGUCGAACGAGUGGCGGACGGGUGAGCUAUGUAUGUGAAACUGCCUGAUGGAGGGGGAUAACUACUGGAAACGGUAGCUAAUACCGCAUACCAUCGGAUGUGCCCAGGUGGGAUUAGCUAGUAGGUGGGGUAACGGCUCACCUAGGCGACGAUCCCUAGCUGGGCUGAGAGGAUGACCAGCCACACUGGAACUGAGACACGGUCCAGAAUCCUACGGGAGGCAGCAGUGGGGAAUAUUUCACAAUGGGCGAAAGCCUGAUGCAGCCAUGCCGCGUGUGUGAAGAAGGCCUUCGGGUUGUAAAGCACUUUCAGCGAGGAGGCGUUACUCGCAGAAGAAGCACCGGCUAACUCCGUGCCAGCAGCCGCGGUAAUUC